GACCAGAGUCACUACAAGGCUUUAUUCCACAUAUAGUCCUCUACUUUAGACCAGAGUCACUACAAGGCUUUAUUCCACAUAUAGUCCUCUACUUUAGACCAGAGUCACUACAAGGCUUUAUUCCACAUAUGGUCCUCUACUUUAGACCAGAGUCACUACAAGGCUUUAUUCCACAUAUAGUCCUCUACUUUAGACCAGAGUCACUACAAGGCUUUAUUCCACAUAUAGUCCUCUACUUCAGACCAGAGCCACUACAAGGCUUUAUUCCACAUAUAGUCCUCUACUUUAGACCAGAGCCACCGCAACAUUUUAUCUCAGCCUCACAAUAAUAAUAAUAACAAUAAUAAUUUAUUCAGCUUCUAUAGUGUUUUUCAUUAUACAACAUUAUCUCAAAGUGCUUGAAAAGAAAACAACUAAUAUAUAGUCCUUAUAGUAGAUAACAGAGGGCUGGACUACCAAAACUAAUAUAUAGUCCUUAUAGUAGAUAACAGAGGGCUGGACUACCAUAACUAAUAUAUAGCCCUUAUAGCAGAUAACAGAGGGCUGGACUACCACAACUAAUAUAUAGUCCUUAUAGUAGAUAACAGAGGGCUGGACUACCACAACUAAUAUAUAGUCCUUAUAGUAGAUAACAGAGGGCUGGACUACCACAACUAAUAUAUAGUCCUUAUAGUAGAUAACAGAGGGCUGGACUACCACAACUAAUAUAUAGUCCUUAUAGUAGAUAACAGAGGGCUGGACUACCACAACUAAUAUAUAGUCCUUAUAGUAGAUAACAGAGGGCUGGACUACCACAACUAAUAUAUAGUCCUUAUAGUAGAUAACAGAGGGCUGGACUACCAUAACUAAUAUAUAGUCCUUAUAGUAGAUAACAGAGGGCUGGACUACCACAACUGUCAGCUAGAGUUGUACGUUUUGGGUGUUUCAAGCCUACAACAUAUGGAACGACAGUCGAGUGGGAUCCAUAUAGCUGGAGCAGAGGGAGGGUUUUGUCUACAGGGGGUAGAUGAGUAGGUCCUCCUCAUAGCUGGAGCAGAGGGAGGGUUUUGUCUACAGGGGGUAGAUGAUCAGGUCCUCCUCAUAGCUGGAGCAGAGGGAGGGUUUUGUCUACAGGGGGUAGAUGAGUAGGUCCUCCUCAUAGCUGGAGCAGAGGGAGGGUUUUGUCUACAGGGGGUAGAUGAGUAGGUCCUCCUCAUAGCUAGAGCAGAGGGAGGGUUUUGUCUACAGGGGGUAGAUGAGUAGGUCCUCCUCAUAGCUGGAGCAGAGGGAGGGUUUUGUCUACAGGGGGUAGAUGAGUAGGUCCUCCUCAUAGCUGGAGCAGAGGGAGGGUUUUGUCUACAGGGGGUAGAUGAGUAGGUUCUCCUCAUAGCUGGAGCAGAGGGAGGGUUUUGUCUACAGGGGGUAGAUGAGUAGGUUCUCCUCAUAGCUGGAGCAGAGGGAGGGUUUUGUCUACAGGGGGUAGAUGAGUAGGUUCUCCUCAUAGCUGGAGCAGAGGGAGGGUUUUGUCUACAGGGGGUAGAUGAUCAGGUCCUCCUCAUAGCUAGAGCAGAGGGAGGGUUUUGUCUACAGGGGGUAGAUGAGUAGGUUCUCCUCAUAGCUGGAGCAGAGGGAGGGUUUUGUCUACAGGGGGUAGAUGAUCAGGUCCUCCUCAUAGCUGGAGCAGAGGGAGGGUUUUUGUCAACAGGGGGUAGAUGAGUAGGUUCUCCUCAUAGCUAGAGCAGAGGGAGGGUUUUGUCUACAGGGGGUAGAUGAGUAGGUUCUCCUCAUAGCUGGAGCAGAGGGAGGGUUUUGUCUACAGGGGGUAGAUGAUCAGGUUCUCCUCAUAGCUGGAGCAGAGGGAGGGUUUUGUCUACAGGGGGUAGAUGAUCAGGUCCUCCUCAUAGCUGGAGCAGAGGGAGGGUUUUGUCAACAGGGGGUAGAUGAGUAGGUCCUCCAGUGGCAGGCAGGUAGCACUGUUCACUCGCCUCGCAGUCCCAGCUGUCUGACUGCCUUGUACAAGAUGAAGUUCAUUACUACGUUCCCACUAACUCAAUGAUGUCAGCCAGCACAAAUCUUCAGAGGAAUCGUCAGACUGAGCAUUGAAUUCAUCCCUGCCAGCUCCCUGCCAGCUUGCAGUCCUCCUCAGGGGUCAGGAGACCAUAAAAACAAGCAAAAAAUAUGGUGGGGCGGCAGCGUAGCCUAGUAACCAGAAGGUUGCAAGUUCAAACCCCCGAGCUGACAAGGUACAAAUCUGUCGUUCUGCCCCUGAACAGGCAGUUAACCCACUGUGCCCAGGCCGUCAUUGAAAAUAAGAAUAUGUUCUUAACUGACUUGCCUGGUUAAAUAAAGGUAAAAUUAAAAACCAAAACACACUAGCUAAUUAGCUUGCUAGCAUUGUUAACUAGCUAUUUUGAAAGAACUGAUUUUCCAUCAUAUUCACAGGUAGGAAACACAUUGAUUUUACCCAGACUUAGUCUAUACCCAUUGAGCUAUUCAAAACCAAAAAAUCAAAUUAAAAUAUUCAAACUAAAAAAUAAAAAAUAAAAAAUGAUUAAAUAUUAACUAAAUGUACCGGAGCUCUCUGCCUAGGCGACCUCACAGCGCCAUGGCAACAUGUGUAGAAUAGCAGGGAAUUUGCUCUCUGCCUCAUGGCAACAAAAAUACAUCCUCUAAAGUAGUGCACUAUAUAGGGAAUAGGGUUCCAUAUGGCUCUGGUCUAAAGUAGUGCACUAUAUAGGGAAUAGGGCUCUGGUCUAAAGUAGUGCACUAUAUAGGGAAUAGGGCUCUGGUCUAAAGUAGUGCACUAUAUAGGGAAUAGGACUCUGGUCUAAAGUAGUGCACUAUAUAGGGAAUAGGGCUCUGGUCUAAAGUAGUGCACUAUAUAGGGAAUAGGGCUCUGGUCUAAAGUAGUGCACUAUAUAGGGAAUAUGGCUCUGGUCUAAAGUAGUGCACUAUAUAGGGAAUAGGACUCUGGUCUAAAGUAGUGCACUAUAUAGGGAAUAGGGCUCUGGUCUAAAGUAGUUUACUAUAUAGGGAAUAGGGCUCUGGUCUAAAGUAGUUUACUAUAUAGGGAAUAGGGCUCUGGUCUAAAGUAGUUUACUAUAUAGGGAAUAGGGCUCUGGUCUAAAGUAGUUUACUAUAUAGGGAAUAGGGCUCUGGUCUAAAGUAGUACCACUAUAUAGGGAAUAGGGUUCCAUAUGGCUCUGGUCUAAAGUAGUGCACUAUAUAUGGGGCUCUGGUCUAAAGUAGUGCACUAUAUAUGGGGCUCUGGUCUAAAGUAGUGCACUAUAUAGGGAAUAGGGUGCCAUUUGGGAUGCACCCCUAUGGGACACAUCCAUGUAAGGAGUUACUCGGCCUCGUAGAGCCUUUCUGAAUGUAUUCAGCAUCUUUAUGAGAAAUUGCACUAGAUAUAUUUUUAGAAGUACAAGAUGUUAGGUCUAGAAAGGGAGGCAGAGCGUGUUGGGCUCCACACGAUCACACAGGCAGGUCUAAGUAUUAUCCUACACAGAGAAUGUCCAUUAGUAGGGUCUAGGCUCGGGAGAGGAAAUGUGUGUCCACGAUGUGAAUGAGAACACAUCUACUGGUUAAACACGGUUGCUAUUGGAAUUUCACAUGUAUAUUUUCAACGUCAGUUUCAUGUUCGUUUAUAUCCAUCAUCCCUCCCUCCAUCAUCCAUCCCUCCAUCCAUCAUCCCUCCAUCCAUCAUCCCUCCCUCCAUCCAUCAUCCCUCCCUCCAUCCAUCAUCCCUCCCUCCAUCCAUCAUCCCUCCAUCCAUCCAUCAUCCCCCUCCAUCCAUCAUCCCUCCAUCCAUCAUCCCUCCCUCCAUCCAUCAUCCCUCCCUCCAUCCAUCAUCCCUCCCUCCAUAAUAUACCAAAUGCCUGUUCCGUUUCCAUUACCAAGGCCCAGAGCAGUGUUUGUUUUAAUACCAUUGCAGGAGUUUGCAUACUGGAUUGGUUUGUAAAUAUUGUGCUCCUGUUUCAAAUAGAGUACAUUCUAUGAAGUCUUGUUUAUUAUAAUAAACAUGUCAAAGACAUUGUC